rnacentral:rRNA from 1 species
CAGCAGUACGGCAGCUUACCAUGCAGUCGAACGAUGAACCACUUCGAUAGGGGAUUAGUGGCGAACGGGUGAGUAACACGUGGGCAAUCUGCCCUGCACUCUGGGACAAGCCCUGGAAACGGGGUCUAAUACCGGAUAUCACUUCCACUCGCAUGGGUGGGGGUCGAAAGCUCCGGCGGUGCAGGAUGAGCCCGCGGCCUAUCAGCUUGUUGGUGAGGUAACGGCUCACCAAGGCGACGACGGGUAGCCGGCCUGAGAGGGCGACCGGCCACACUGGGACUGAGACACGGCCCAGACUCCUACGGGAGGCAGCAGUGGGGAAUAUUGCACAAUGGGCGAAAGCCUGAUGCAGCGACGCCGCGUGAGGGAUGACGGCCUUCGGGUUGUAAACCUCUUUCAGCAGGGAAGAAGCGAAAGUGACGGUACCUGCAGAAGAAGCGCCGGCUAACUACGUGCCAGCAGCCGCGGUAAUACGUAGGGCGCAAGCGUUGUCCGGAAUUAUUGGGCGUAAAGAGCUCGUAGGCGGCUUGUCACGUCGGGUGUGAAAGCCCGGGGCUUAACCCCGGGUCUGCAUUCGAUACGGGCUAGCUAGAGUGUGGUAGGGGAGAUCGGAAUUCCUGGUGUAGCGGUGAAAUGCGCAGAUAUCAGGAGGAACACCGGUGGCGAAGGCGGAUCUCUGGGCCAUUACUGACGCUGAGGAGCGAAAGCGUGGGGAGCGAACAGGAUUAGAUACCCUGGUAGUCCACGCCGUAAACGGUGGGAACUAGGUGUUGGCGACAUUCCACGUCGUCGGUGCCGCAGCUAACGCAUUAAGUUCCCCGCCUGGGGAGUACGGCCGCAAGGCUAAAACUCAAAGGAAUUUGACGGGGGCCCGCACAAGCAGCGGAGCAUGUGGCUUAAUUCGACGCAACGCGAAGAACCUUACCAAGGCUUGACAUACACCGGAAACGGCCAGAGAUGGUCGCCCCCUUGUGGUCGGUGUACAGGUGGUGCAUGGCUGUCGUCAGCUCGUGUCGUGAGAUGUUGGGUUAAGUCCCGCAACGAGCGCAACCCUUGUCCUGUGUUGCCAGCAUGCCCUUCGGGGUGAUGGGGACUCACAGGAGACCGCCGGGGUCAACUCGGAGGAAGGUGGGGACGACGUCAAGUCAUCAUGCCCCUUAUGUCUUGGGCUGCACACGUGCUACAAUGGCAGGUACAAUGAGCUGCGAUACCGUGAGGUGGAGCGAAUCUCAAAAAGCCUGUCUCAGUUCGGAUUGGGGUCUGCAACUCGACCCCAUGAAGUCGGAGUUGCUAGUAAUCGCAGAUCAGCAUUGCUGCGGUGAAUACGUUCCCGGGCCUUGUACACACCGCCCGUCACGUCACGAAAGUCGGUAACACCCGAAGCCGGUGGCCCAACCUACCUUGUGGGGAGGGAGCUUCGAAGUGAUAUGACU